ensembl:snRNA U6 U6 spliceosomal RNA
UCUCUCCCCCCCCAAAAAAAAAAUUGGAUGAUACAAAGUAGAUCAGCAUGGUCCUUGUGUAGGUAUGACAUGCAAAUUCAUGAAGCAUUCCAUAUUUUA